AAGACCUUGCGCUUUUGGAGCGGCCGAUGUCUGAUUAGCUAGUUGGUGGGGUAAUGGCCUACCAAAGCUUCGAUCAGUAGCUGGUCUGAGAGGACGGCCAGCCACACUGGGACUGAGACACGGCCCAGACUCCUACGGGAGGCAGCAGUGGGGAAUUUUGGACAAUGGGCGCAAGCCUGAUCCAGCCAUGCCGCGUGAGUGAAGAAGGCCUUCGGGUUGUAAAGCUCUUUCAGCCGGGAAGAAAAGGUUGCGAUUAAUAAUCGCAAUUUAUGACGGUACCGGAAGAAGAAGCACCGGCUAACUACGUGCCAGCAGCCGCGGUAAUACGUAGGGUGCGAGCGUUAAUCGGAAUUACUGGGCGUAAAGGGUGCGCAGGCGGUUUUGUAAGUCAGAUGUGAAAUCCCCGGGCUUAACCUGGGAACU
rnacentral:rRNA from 1 species